rnacentral:lncRNA from 1 species
GUAUAUGUAUGUGUGAACGUGUGAAUUUGUAUGUGCAUGUGUGCCUUUGUUAAUACAUGUGUAUAUGUGUGAGUGUAUGUGUAUACAUGUGUGUGUAUGUGUGAGUGCAUGUGUGUAGGUAUAUGUAUGAAUUUGUGUGUGUAUAAAUGUGUGUUUGUAUGACUAUGUGAUUGUAUGUGCAUGCAUGUGUGUGUGAAUUCAUAUGUGUAUGGGUGGGUGUGUGUAAGAAAGUAUGAAUGUGUGUAUGCAUGUAUGUGAGUGUGUGAAUGUGCGCAUGAAUUUGUGUGUGAAAUUAUGUGUAUGUGUGAGUGUGAAAGUGUAUGAAUGUGUGUGUGUAUGCAUGUGUGUGUGACUGUGUAUGAAUGUGUUUAAGUAUGCAUGCAUGCAUGUGAGUGUAUGAAUGUGUAUGCAUGCAUGUAUGUGUGAAUUCAUGUGUAUGUGUGAGUGUAUAUAAGUGUGUAUGAAUGUGUGUGUAUGCAUAUGUGUGAGUAUGUGAAUAUGUGUGUGCAUACACGUAUGUAUGAAUUCAUAUGUAUAUGUGUAAGUGUAUGUUAGUGUGUAUAAGUGUGCAUGCAUAUGUGUGAGUGUGUGACUAUGUAUACAUAUAUUAUGUGUGAAUUCAUAUGUAUAUGUGUAUGUGUGAGAGUGUAUGAAUGUGUGUGUAUGCAUGUGUAUGUAUGAUUUUAUAUGUGUGUAAGUGUAUAUGUAUGUGUGCAAGUGUAUGAAUGUGUGUGCAUGCAUGUAUGUGUGAAUUCAUAUGUAUAUGUGUAGGUGUGUGUGUGUGUG